AGUGAACGCUGGCGGUAGGCCUAACACAUGCAAGUCGAACGGCAGCACAGAGGAGCUUGCUCCUUGGGUGGCGAGUGGCGGACGGGUGAGGAAUACAUCGGAAUCUACUCUUUCGUGGGGGAUAACGUAGGGAAACUUACGCUAAUACCGCAUACGACCUUCGGGUGAGAGCAGGGGAUCGCAAGACCUUGCGCGAUUGAAUGAGCCGAUGUCGGAUUAGCUGGUUGGCGGGGUAAAGGCCCACCAAGGCGACGAUCCGUAGCUGGUCUGAGAGGAUGAUCAGCCACACUGGAACUGGGACACGGUCCAGACUCCUACGGGAGGCAGCAGUGGGGAAUAUUGGACAAUGGGCGCAAGCCUGAUCCAGCCAUACCGCGUGGGUGAAGAAGGCCUUCGGGUUGUAAAGCCCUUUUGUUGGGAAAGAAGAGCACACGGUUAAUACCCGAGUGUUCUGACGGUACCCAAAGAAUAAGCACCGGCUAACUUCGUGCCAGCCGCCGCCGUAACAC
rnacentral:rRNA from 1 species